CUCUUAAUUGGAGGCUGGAAUGAACGGUCGGACAUGAAGGAAGCUGUCUCGGUGCGGAGAACGUGAAAUUAACUUUUGUGUGAAAAGGCAUUAAUGGGUUAGGGGGACGAUAAGACCCUAUAAAACUUGAUGGGUGGGCGUCCGGACCGGGAGUUGAGUGUAAGGGGGGCCGGGCGGUGUCCAUUUUGCUGGGGCGGCAGGAAUGUAAUCAGUAACCGUUCCUCAGGCGGAAUGGUAAUAGCUAGAUUAUGACCCCGGACUUCGGGUUAAGAGAGUAAGUUACUUUAGGGAUAACAGCGUUA
rnacentral:rRNA from 1 species